rnacentral:lncRNA from 1 species
GAGGAACGCGCUGUUCUUCUACUCCGAUGCCCGUCGUAAGAGUCUUGUGGCGGCCAACACCUCUGCUUUCGCCGCCAGAUCAUCCCGUUGUCUGCACAGCAUGGGGUCUCUGGGGUCGCCGGCGGGGAGGAGAGCACGCCGGUUCCACGACUUGAGGGAUGUGGUCUUGGAACAUGCCGAUGCUGCUACCGCUACGUUGUCUGUUGUUGUUUUCUCUGCGGUUGCUGGAAUUUUGCAUUUGAUGCAAGAUACAGACGAAGCUCGGAAGGAGGACACACCCACUAAGACAAAUCCUUACUUCCGUUCCAACCAGUUGAUGGAAGACUUGAUACGAGAGAGGGCGUCUUACAACGAAACAACGCCUGACGAGAAGACCGUGGUUCGAGAGUACAUGGAGGAUGAUCAAGACAUAAGGGCAAGGUUCAAGGAUUGGAUGAAGGAGCAUGGCAGGACAUACAAGCAGGACGAGGUGGAGGAGGCUAGGCGAUUCAAAAUAUUCAAGUCAGUUGCAAGAUUUUCUGAUGCAGCCAACGAUGAUUCUGCCAACGCAGGGCACUCGACCCGUUUUGGCCUGAAUGAGUUUUCAGACUGGAACCAGGAAGAACUUGCUCGGAUGUGUUGUUGUAUGCCAGCUAGGAGUGAUGGGGAUCUGGCAUCAGGUAUAGCUGACAUGGAGUACAAGGUAUGUAUUCCCAAUUUCAUCUAUACAAUGUAUAUUUUAAUUUGUUUUUCUGAUAGACAUGGAUCGAGUGCAUUAACUGGAGAAGCCCUUAGCUUGAUCUGUCCCAAAAUGUAACGUGUUUUGG